GAGGGCGGUCAGGACCCUUGUGGAAAGCUCUGGAAGCGGCUCUGAGCGGGAAGAUAAUAAAUCAUUUUAAGUAGGACUUGUACGUACGAAUAUUGACGAAAACUAUUUUUUUUAAAGCUCACAUCUCUGUGGCUUUACUUAGCCGUGUUAUUACGCCUUCACUCGCAUAUUCCAACGAGUGCGUCCAGUUUUCCGCCAACAGAUCAUUAAAAACAAUAUCUAACAGCUGCUACAGUAGAAGAGCAGCACCUCUGCGGCGGCGGGGUGUGUGAAACAGUUUAAUACGGGAGCGCACUACCCUGUUACAUCUCCGUCGGAGGCCUACAUACAGCGACAGUGGCAAACAACCCGCUCCCCACCUGCCCCCGCUCGCACCCACGCCAUCAGGAGUCCCCCGUGCGUCUCAGGUCUGUCCCGGCAGCGAGUGAGUGAGCGAGCGUGGGGUUCUGGGACACGGAGUCCAGCGGGCGUGCAGCGCGGAGCCGGGAGACGCCGAAGGCGGGGCUCUCACGCCAGGUCACACCGCCCU